AAAGAUGGAGCGUGAUGUAUUGAAAAUUAGUUGUAAUCAAAGUAUUGUAUAUAUUUAUACCUAUUUCAUGUUAGAUUGAAUACAGAUAGCUCAAUGCUAAGAAAUAUCUGUUUGUUUUUAUUUAAUCAAAGAAUAUUACCUUUUGAAGUUGUGAUCUACCAUAGAAUGAUACACAGAUCUUGUAAGAAAUUGACUUUGAGCAUUUUUAAAUGUGGCUAAAAAAAAAAAAAUUAUGAAAUAUUCUUGCUUUAUUUUUAUUUUUUACUUAUUAUGCUGAAUAAUAAGAACCUAUAUUUAAUACAACAAUAAAAAGACUUGAUUUUUUAUGUUGUUUAUACAUUAUUAAGAUACAAAUUUUAAAAAUUAAAUGACUUAUUAUGACUUAUGUAUAUGUGGACAUAUAUAUAUAUAUAUAUAUGUAAACAUAUGCGUGCUUUUGUAGAUAUUAUACUGUGAACAUGCAUUGCAAUUAUUCUCUUACGACUUGAAAGCCAUAUAUCAGGGGACACCUAGAAAAUGCUUCUGAGAUUGCAAAACUUCAGAAGAAAAAAAAGAAUGAAAGAAGGAGAAUUUUAUUUAUAAAUAAAUAAAAUAAAUAAAAAAGCAUCAUUUACGCAAAGAGAAAGAAGUUGAGUUGUUUCUUCCGAUGCAGACUCUAAGUUCGACAAGGGCCACGAUUGUCCCUAGAUGCAACACAACAAAAAGCACUGCCUUGUGAACACAGAUGCAGCACCCACCACACCUUUUUUAACCUAUCGGUGAAACUUCGACAUCAACAAGCGUAAACUUUAUUGCACAACAAUUUGACUCUACAUGGCCACGAUUAUAAAAACUCACACUCCAUCCUCCUCCUCCCCCUC
rnacentral:lncRNA from 1 species